rnacentral:rRNA from 1 species
GACGAACGCUGGCGGCGUGCCUAAUACAUGCAAGUUGAGCGCUGAAGGUUGGUACUUGUACCAACUGGAUGAGCAGCGAACGGGUGAGUAACGCGUGGGGAAUCUGCCUUUGAGCGGGGGACAACAUUUGGAAACGAAUGCUAAUACCGCAUAAAAACUUUAAACACAAGUUUUAAGUUUGAAAGAUGCAAUUGCAUCACUCAAAGAUGAUCCCGCGUUGUAUUAGCUAGUUGGUGAGGUAAAGGCUCACCAAGGCGAUGAUACAUAGCCGACCUGAGAGGGUGAUCAGCCACAUUGGGACUGAGACACGGCCCAAACUCCUACGGGAGGCAGCAGUAGGGAAUCUUCGGCAAUGGACGAAAGUCUGACCGAGCAACGCCGCGUGAGUGAAGAAGGUUUUCGGAUCGUAAAACUCUGUUGGUAGAGAAGAGCGUUGGUGAGAGUGGAAAGCUCAUCAAGUGACGGUAACUACCCAGAAAGGGACGGCUAACUACGUG